CACAUCAUGUUGAAGCACUAGUUCUGUUACAAUCACCGAAGUUAAGCAAUACCGAGCCUGGUCAGUACUUAGAUGGGUGACUGCAUGAAAAUACUAGGUGCUGUAAG